rnacentral:rRNA from 1 species
GAUGAACGCUGGCGGCGUGCAUAACACAUUCAAGUCGAACGGAGUUGUUGGAAUUAAUCCUUCGGGAAGCGUGAAGACAACUUAGUGGCGGACGGGUGAGUAACGCGUGAGUAACCUGCCUUACAGAGGGGGACAACAGUUGGAAACGACUGCUAAUACCGCAUAAUGUCUAACCGAGGCAUCUCGGAUAGACCAAAGGAGUAAUCCGCUGAAAGAUGGCUUCGCGUCUGAUUAGCUAGAUGGCGGGGUAACGGCCCACCAUGGCGACGAUCAGUAGCCGGUCUGAGAGGAUGAACGGCCACAUUGGGACUGAGAUACGGCCCAGACUCCUACGGGAGGCAGCAGUGGGGAAUAUUGGGCAAUGGGCGAAAGCCUGACCCAGCAACGCCGCGUGAAGGAAGAAGGCCCUCGGGUUGUAAACUUCUUUUACCAGGGACGAAUAAUGACGGUACCUGGAGAAAAAGCAACGGCUAACUACGUG